rnacentral:rRNA from 1 species
CCUACGGGAGGCAGCAGUGGGGAAUAUUGGACAAUGGGGGGAACCCUGAUCCAGCGACGCCGCGUGAGUGAAGAAGUAUUUCGGUAUUUAAAGCUCUAUCAGCAGGGAAGAAAAUGACGGUACCUGACUAAGAAGCCCCGGCUAACAACGUGCCAGCAGCCGCGGUAAUACGUAGGGGGCAAGCGUUAUCCGGAGUUACUGGGUGUAAAGGGAGCGUAGACGGUGCAGCAAGUCUGAUGGGAAAGGUCGGGGCACAAACCCGGGACUGCAGUGGAAACUGUUGAACUGGAGUACAGGAGAGGUAUGCGGAAUGCGUGGUGUAGCGGUGAAAUGCGUAGAUAUUAGGAGGAACACCGGUGGCGAAGGCGGCUUACUGGACUGUAACUGACGUUGAGGCUCGAAAGCGUGGGGAGCAAACAGGAUUAGAUACCCGGGUAGUC